CUGUCGCGGUGCUGCUCGCCUCAUCUUCUCGAACCCAACCAUGGUCGUGGUCCUGCUCGCCUCUCUCUGUCGCGGUUCUGCUCAGCCUCAUCAUCUCCAACCCAGCCCUGGUCGUGGUGCUGCUCGCCUCUCUCUAUGUCGCGGUUCUGCUCGCCUCUCAUCCCGCAUCUAGCAUCAAGUAUCCUCCUUGUUACAAGGACAUCAGUUUCUGGAUCAAGGAAUCAUUUACUGAAAACAUUCUGUGUGAACUUGUUAGAGGAAUUGCUGGGGAUCUUGUAGAAGAGACUGACACAACCUCAGUGUUGUUAAAAGCUAUUGGGUAUAUCAGAUUCCUUCAGAGUCAAAUUGAGGUCAUUAUGUUCCUUCAA